AGAUUUGGUCCUAGUCUUUUUAUUGACUUUUCCUAUAAUGAUACAUGCAAGCCUGUUAACAAUACUGUGAGUAAGAUUAGCUAAUCCCUUUCCAGGGAAACGCCACGUAGUAUCAGAAACCAAGUCAGGAUCAAAUACACUUAGACACCCACAACUGCAGUACUUAAAAUUAUACAAUAAGCGAAAGCUUGAUAUAGUAAUAGGAAAGAACUUCCGGUUAAUUAUGUGCCAGCCACCGCGGUUAUACAUAAGGUAAUAGCCAAUAAUAUCCGGUAAAAAUUGUGGUAAGAAAAUAUCUCCAUGAAAUAAAGAUAACCUUCAGCAGUAACAAGCUAACAGCCCUUAAGUUACAAUUACAAAAACCUAAUUUCAAUUCUUUCUCAACCCACUAAAGCUCUGCCAUAAACUGGGAUUAGAUACCCCAUUAUAGGAGCUGUAAAACACCCACACACCCGAGAACUACGAGCGAAAGCUUAAAACUCAAAGGACUUGGCGGUUUUCUAAUCCUUCCUGGAGGAGCUUGCUAUCUAACCGAUAAUCCACGUAACACCUUACCAACUUUUGAAUACUACAGCCUGUAUACCAUCGUCGUCAGUUUACUUCCCAAGAAAUGUAAACAAGAAGAAUAUAACAACCUCUCAACGUCAGAUCGAGGUGCAGCUAAUAAGUUGGGGAUAAGUGAGCUACAAUAGUAUAACAAAUAUAAAUUAUAUAAAUGAAUAACAGGUUGAUACAACCAGUUUGAAACAGGAUUCAGCAGUAAUGAGUAAAAGAAAAUACUCGUGAACAUCCUUUAAGCUCUAGAAUGCGCACACAUCGCCCGUCACUCUCGUCAUCAGAGGAGAAAAGUCGUAACAAAGUAGGCGUAUUGGAAAAUGUGCCUGGAAUAAA
rnacentral:ncRNA from 1 species